rnacentral:tRNA from 1 species
UCUAAUAUGGCAGAAAUAAUGCAUUGGAUUUAAACCCCAAUUAUAAAGAUUUAUCUUUUUUUAGAA